rnacentral:misc_RNA from 1 species
GGAGAUUGGAAAAAGACCCUUCUGUCACUCUACUUGUUUCUGUCUUUGUCAGUCUUACUCCUUUCCCCGCAAGUUCAAGCUACUUCCUUGCUAAGUUGAACGCCCCCUCUACCUUUUUCACUGUUAUUUCCAAUCCCUUGCUUCAUUUCUCAUUUUCUUUCUCAUUAUAUGAACUUACCACAGCCAUAAACAAACAAGGACAUUGGACAUUGUUCUCUUACUGAUCCUUGAUCACUGCAAUUUUGAUUUUCAAGCUCUCUGAUCUUCCCCCCUCUUGAAUCACUUGCUGUUAUGGAACCUGCCUACAUGGACAUCGAUGAUGCCCAGAAACUUGGUGCUGAUCCUCUACCCUCUGCUAGAAGGCUCCUAUAUAUUGUUUUGAGGCGUUAAAUAUGUGGGGUUUUUGCAGCUAUCAACUAGAGGCACUGGAG